UUCAAGUGUAGUCGUAGGUUUUUUUAUUUAAUGUUUGAUCGUCCAUCUUAUUAAAUUUUUUAUAGUUAGUAUUUUUAUUGCUAUUAGAUGAUAAAAUAUAAACAAUACUUUAUGCAUGACUUAGCUUUAAAAGAAAUUUUAUAAAAAUUUUAAAUAAGACAAACGGUGAAACAUUAAAUACAGAAAAUACACUUAGA
rfam:Oryza glaberrima chromosome 7 Oglab07_0032_3, whole genome shotgun sequence.